rnacentral:rRNA from 1 species
AAACUAAAUGGCAAGUCGAGCGGAUUGAUGGGAGCUUGCUCCCUGAAGUCAGCGGCGGACGGGUGAGUAACACGUGGGUAACCUGCCUGUAAGACUGGGAUAACUCCGGGAAACCGGGGCUAAUACCGGAUAGUUCUUUUCCUCGCAUGAGGAAAAGUGGAAAGGCGGCUUCGGCUGCCACUUACAGAUGGACCCGCGGCGCAUUAGCUAGUUGGUGAGGUAACGGCUCACCAAGGCAACGAUGCGUAGCCGACCUGAGAGGGUGAUCGGCCACACUGGGACUGAGACACGGCCCAGACUCCUACGGGAGGCAGCAGUAGGGAAUCUUCCGCAAUGGACGAAAGUCUGACGGAGCAACGCCGCGUGAGUGAUGAAGGUUUUCGGAUCGUAAAGCUCUGUUGUUAGGGAAGAACAAGUGCCGUUCGAAUAGGGCGGCGCCUUGACGGUACCUAACCAGAAAGCCACGGCUAACUACGUGCCAGCAGCCGCGGUAAUACGUAGGUGGCAAGCGUUGUCCGGAAUUAUUGGGCGUAAAGCGCGCGCAGGCGGUCUCUUAAGUCUGAUGUGAAAGCCCACGGCUCAACCGUGGAGGGUCAUUGGAAACUGGGGGACUUGAGUACAGAAGAGGAAAGUGGAAUUCCACGUGUAGCGGUGAAAUGCGUAGAUAUGUGGAGGAACACCAGUGGCGAACGCGACUUUCUGGUCUGUAACUGACGCUG